rnacentral:rRNA from 1 species
AGACCGCAGGAUGACGGCCAGGCUAACGACCUUGCCAGACUCGCGGAGAGGAGGUGCAUGGCCGUCGCCAGCUCGUGUUGUGAAAUGUCCGGUUAAGUCCGGCAACGAGCGAGACCCCCACUUCUAGUUGGUAGCCGUCCCUCCGGGGAUGGCCCACACUAGAAGGACUGCCGGUGUUAAACCGGAGGAAGGAGGGGGCCACGGCAGGUCAGCAUGCCCCGAAACCUCCGGGCCGCACGCGGGUUACAAUGGCAGGGACAGCGGGAUCCGACCCCGAAAGGGGAAGGCAAUCCCACAAACCCUGCCUCAGUUGGGAUCGAGGGCUGAAACUCGCCCUCGUGAACGAGGAAUCCCUAGUAACCGCGGGUCAACAACCCGCGGUGAAUACGUCCCUGCUCCUUGUACACACCGCCCGU